UCCAGUUUUGUUAAGCGAUCUAAGCCUGAACAGCUACGCGUUGUGUCCAGUAGAGGGCUCUGUUGCUUAGUUAGCGGCAAGCUGCACUUCCAGCUCAGACCGGAUUUCGUGGCGCACAUGUCCCAGUAAGCAGCUCUCAAUGAAGCAUGAAGCAGCGUGAUACCGGACUCUAGCAAAAUACAAUUUGCAGCCCUUGGAAUGCGGAGCGAGGUACAUGUUUUAAGUUGUAUUUGAUUGUUUAGUUGAUAUUUUGUUGUAUUUUCUGCUUUAUUUAAGUUCAUAUUUGUAAUAAGCGUCUAAGAAAAUGUAUUUUGUGUUUCUGUUUAGUUUUCACGGUGCAUUGGCGCACCUCAGUACUGUUAGAUUCUGAACGAAUCUCCAAGUAAAAAUUACUGCACCCGUCGAGGCUCUCUCUAUUUCUUCCUUGGUCCGGGGGACUGCUACAGUGAAAACUCGGUCGCUGAGUGAAGGCUACUUGCUAGCUCCCAUGCCUGAUGAGUGCAGCCCGUGCCUGUCCAGCGAGGUCCGUGUGUCAGCUGUGAGAGAUUUCUACGCCAGUCAAGAUCAUCAUUGCUUCGUCGCCUACCUCCACUUUGAACUCUGAUGCUCACUUUACAAAGGUGCAGGUAUUAUGACCAUUAAGGACUUUGCUGAUAACAAAGUUAAAAUGUCUGCACACUAAUUCAGAAUUAAUUGCCUUAAAUAUUUUUGUGGUUUACAGCCUUAAAGGUGUACUGCUUUGCACUAAGUAAUCACAAUCUUUAAAUUGUAUGGGUUUAUUCCUCUUGAAAGUAACGUUAUGGUAUAUCAGCAGUAUUUACAGUUACAUUUUGUCUAAUAUGUGGGUGCUAAUCUGUUUAUUUAUGUGAUGUAAACAUCUGAUGUGAGCAUUGUUUCCAAAAAGUAACACUCACGUAAGUUUAAGUCCAGACGUUAUCGCAUAGAGCAACAUACACAUUACAGUGACAAAAUGUUGAACCCUGCUGAAGAAGCUGACGACUCAGAGCAACAAGGAGUAAGAUCCAGCAAUCGUGAAAGGCAUUUAACUGAAAAAGGUAAAGAAAUGCAGGAAUAUGAGGCAAAGAAAAAUGAGAAGGCAUUUAACAAAGCUUAUGACACUUGGAAGAAGGCAGCUAAAGAAAUCAGAACAAAGCUGAAAACUUUCUGCUCACCUGAAGAGUUAAAUAAUGCCAGUCAUGAAAUAAGAGACAAGCACGCCGUAGUACAACAGCAUUAUGAACCCAUUCGCCGCAGCCAAUCCAUGACGCCAGACAUUGUUAAGCGAAUGGAUGCUUGUGCAGUGCUAACAACGGACAUUUGUGAAGUUAUUGCUAAACGACAGGAAAAUAUCGAUCAGCUCUUUAACGAUCGCCUUGAAAAGGAAAGAGUUCGAGUGAUGUUAAACAAAAAGGACUAUGGUUCUGUGUUUGGUGAUACAAAAACCGAAACGUCGUUCCCAGAGGGUUCAGUCGCACACUCAAAGGCAGAUUCUACUGGCAGUCGUGAGGUGGAAGCAGAAGCUGAACUUGCAGCCAAAGUGGAACAAGCAAAGGCCACACAAGAAAUAUUGGCACAGGAAACCAAGAUCAGCCAAAUGGAAAAUGAGUGGAAAAUAAAGGAAGUGGAAACAAAGGCAAAGUUGGAGGAGGAAAAGACUAAACUUCAACAGUUAAAGGCAGACAGUGAAGUGAAAGUAGCAGCUGCACGAGUAAGAGCCCUUAGCGCUCAAAAUGACAUUGAAAGCCAUGAUCAAGUGUCCUGCUACAACUUAGAAAAUUCUGGAAAUCUCCCCAACAGCGCACCACGGCUCUCUUUAAAUCCACGAGCACCGACAUUUAGACCUCACAAUACUUCUCCAGAACAAGAAGAACUUAGCAUAGUUCAGGCCCUUGCCAGCUCUCUUACCCUAAACAGGCUUCCUGUACCUGAGCCCACUAUCUUUAGUGGCGACCCCCUAAAGUUUAUGGAUUGGAAGGUAUCCUUUAUGGCACUAAUUGGUGACAAACCUUUACCUGUGUGUGAGAAAAUGUUAUAUCUAAAGAGCUAUCUUGCAGGUGAAGCACGAAAGGCAGUAGAGGGAUAUUUCUUCCGCAACAGUGAGCAGGCAUACGCAGGCAUUUGGAGCGUUCUAGAGGAAAGGUAUGGCAGCCCAUUUGUUAUCCAAAGAGCCUUUAGGGCUAAACUCACAAAAUGGCCUAAAAUAGCUGCCAAUGAUCCCAUAGCGCUGAGGGAGUUUGCAGAUUUUCUCCAAAGCUGUGCUGAGGCUAUCCCUCAAGUCAAAGGCCUAGAUAUCCUUAAUGAUUGUGAGGAAAAUCACAAGCUUCUAAGAAAACUGCCUGAGUGGAUAGUGCAGAGAUGGAGCCGCAUUGUGGUGGAGGAGCUAGACAAAAGCCAAGACUACCCCAACUUCGCUCGCUUUACAAAGUUCAUACAAAAUGAAGCUAAAGUAGUUUGCAAUCCUGUUGCUUCACCAUUCCUAAUGAGCGAAAGGGCAUCAGAAGAGCGGCACGUUAAAAGAGCGAAGGCACUCAGUACUACCUCCCAACCAAAGUCUCCACCAAUCCCAGUAUCUAUUUCUAGACCUAAACCCCCAUGUUUGUUUUGCAAAGAAGAAUCGCACGGCAUAGCUAAGUGUCCUGCUUUUGCAGCAAAAACUAGUGAUGACAAAAGAGUUUUCAUUCAGGAAAAUCAUCUCUGCUUUGGAUGUUUGAAAAGGGGUCAUGUAACCAAAGAAUGCAGAGGACGUCACUCCUGUAGUAAGUGUGGUCGGCGUCACCCCACCUGUCUACACACAGAAAGAGUGAAUGAACCUAAAGAGAGGAAAACUGAGGAUUCUAAAUCCCCAGAUGAAGGUGCAAAGAAGGAAGUGCAUAAUGUUAUGACUCAUGUACUAACAAGGAAAACAUCUUCCACAUCCAGCAUAGUACCAGUAUUUGUGUCAGUUGCAUCUGAGCCUGAGAAAGAAAUACUUACAUAUGCCCUGCUUGACACCCAGAGUGACUCAUCCUUUAUUUUAGAGGAUUUGGCUUCAGAACUAAAUGUAGACGCCCAACCAGUGCAGUUAAAGCUUAGCACCAUGACUUCCGUCGACACAGUGGUCGCAAGUAAACUUGCUAACAACUUACAGGUGCGUGGGUUUGACUCUGAGACUCGUGUCCGAAUAGAACAAGCCUACUCUCGUGACUUUAUCCCAGUUGACAAGUCUCAUAUCCCUACCAAGGAAACUGCACUACAGUGGCCACACCUUGAAAGCUUGGCUGACAAGUUACAGCCAUUGCAGAACUGUGAAGUAGGUCUGUUGAUUGGUUAUGACUGCCCAUCAGCACUAGCCCCCCUAGAGAUCGUCACAGGCAAAAUAAGCGAGCCUUUCGCACAAAGAACCUUACUAGGAUGGAGUAUUAUUGGUUCUGGUAAUCCCCACCUAGACAGAGAAGGUAACCAGAGUUAUGUGCACAGGAUCACGGUCAAAGAAAUGCCCAUACCAUCAGCUACAGAUGUACUCAAAGUCCUAGAGACUGACUUUAAUGAGAGAAACUAUGAGGACAAGUAUGUAUCACAGGAUGAUGUUCGCUUCAUACAAAUCCUCAGUGAUGCAAUAAAACAAAGACCAGAUGGACACUAUGAGAUGCCGCUUCCCUUCAAGGGCAAUGAUCCGCCAGCUCUUCCCAACAACAAGAAGCUAGCCACAGUCCGACUGCAACACCUGAAGAAAAGGCUAAAGGCUGAUAAACAGUAUCAUGAACAUUACUGUUCCUUUAUGAGAGACAUUAUCAGCAGUGGUGAUGCAGAAUUAGCCCCUCCUUUGUCUGAUGGCGAGACUGCAUGGUACAUCCCACACCACGGGGUAUAUCACCCGAAAAAACCAGCCAAGCUAAGAGUCGUCUUUGACUGUUCAGCAAAAUUUCUCGGUGUCUCAUUAAACGACACUCUUCUCACAGGUCCAGAUAUGAUCAACUCAUUGGUGGGGGUACUCUGUCGUUUCAGGAAGGAAAAUGUAGCCAUAAUCUGUGAUAUCGAGAGAAUGUUCCACCAGUUCUCUGUUUGUCCAGACAUGCGCAACUAUCUGAGAUUUCUGUGGUGGCAGGAUGGACAAUUAGACACAGAACCCAGAGAGUACAGAAUGGCUGUACAUCUAUUCGGUGCCAGUUCAUCCCCUGGAUGUGCUAAUUUCGGCCUGAAAUACUUAGCACAACAGCACAAAGCAGACUAUCCUAAGGCCUCAGAGUUUGUUGAACAGAACUUUUAUGUAGACGAUGGUCUAACUAGCGUCCCAUCAGUUAAAGAGGCACAAGAACUCAUCACCAAAACGCAAGCACUUUGUAGACUCGGCGGUCUACAUCUGCACAAGUUCAACUCAAACCAAAGUGAUGCGCUUUCCCAGCUGGAAACCUCAGACAGAGCAGACACCACAGAACCACUCGAUCUCAAACCUGACACAGCAGCUGAAGGCCAUGUGCUCGGCAUCCAGUGGUCAAUCAAAAAUGACACUUUCAGUUUCAAAAUAAACACUAAGGACCAGCCUCCUACUCGCCGGAGCAUACUGUCAGUGAUCUCAUCCCUGUAUGACCCACUAGGGUUCGUAGCUCCCUUCACCUUAAGAGGCAAGAGUAUCCUACAGGAACUGUGUCGCAGAGGCACUGAAUGGGAUGACCCCCUUCCCGACAACUUACGUUCACGGUGGGAGGACUGGAAAGAUGGUUUGGAAAGACUAAAAUCGGUUGCAGUGCCUAGAUGUUACCACCCACCAGAACUAACAGACAUUGUAAAGGUGGAACUGCAUCACUUUUGUGAUGCUAGUGAUUCAGGAUAUGGUGCAUGCUCCUAUAUUAGGUACCUCAGCAACGAGAAGGUCCACUGUAGUCUUGUUAUGGCUAAGGCAAGAGUCGCACCUACCAAGGUCACCAGUAUCCCACGAUUAGAACUCUCAGCCGCAGUCACAUCAGCCAGAAUGAGCAGCAUGCUAAACGCGGAGCUUCAGAUGUGCAUUAAUGAAGAGUUCUUUUGGACUGACUCCCAAGUAGUCUUAGCCUAUAUUAACAACGAGGCACGACGGUUCCACGUCUUUGUUGCCAACCGGGUUCAGUUAAUUAGGCAAACUACAGAUCCCAAACAGUGGCACUACAUUGACACAGCUCAGAAUCCUGCAGAUUACGCCUCUAGAGGGCUCAGUGCAUCAGAGAUCAUGUCAACAUGUUGGUUGUCUGGUCCAAAGUUUCUGUGGGAACAUGACAUUUCAUAUGCACCCAGCCCCUCUGCUGUGUUGUUGGUAGGGGAUCCAGAAGUCAAAGCAGUCAAAGCUCUCACAACUCUGACAAGUGAACAAGACAAUAUCCUCAGCCGUUUGUCAAGGUUUUCAAGCUGGUCAAUGCUCCUUAAAGUGGUUGCAAGGAUAAAAAGAUUGAGAUCCAGCAAAGCUCAGUAUAGAAACUUUGUAACAGUAGACGAACGGAAAACAGCUGCUGACACAAUAAUAAAGCUUCUUCAGCAGCAGGCCUUUUCCCGAGAGAUGGAAGUGUUGAAGGUGGGAGAUAACCUUCAGAGUUCAAGUCCCCUCUUUAGAGUAGAUCCAGUACUAGAUCAAGGGCUUCUCCGUGUUGGAGGAAGACUGAAGAAGUCAACACUCUGUCAGGGACUUAAGCACCCCAUCAUCCUCCCGAAAGACCAUCACAUUACAAAGUUGAUCAUUACUCAUUUUCACGCACAGAUUUUUCAUCAAGGCAGAAGUCAAACUCUUAUGGAAAUCAGAUCAAACGGAUUUUGGGUGAUUGGUGGGAGCAAGGAAGUUGCAAAACUAAUAAGCAAAUGUGUUCAAUGUCGAAAACUACGACGUUCACCAGAAGAACAACGCAUGUCUGAACUUCCAAAGGAACGAGUUGAAAUCUCAGAUCCUUUCAUGUAUUGUGGAAUGGACUGUUUCGGACCAUUUGUCACAAAACAAGGUCGUAAAGAGCAUAAAAGGUAUGGACUCCUCUUUACAUGUCUUUCCUCACGUGCAGUCCACAUUGAGAUGCUUGAGGAUCUUUCUACUGACUCUUUCAUCAACGCUCUGAGAUGUUUCAUCAGCUUAAGAGGAGCUGUUUGUAAGUUGUACAGUGACCAGGGUACAAACUUCAUUGGAGCCAAAAAUGAGCUGAGAGAGUCUCUUAAACAAUGCGACACAGAUGCCUUAGAAGCAUUCCUUGCCAAUAAACAGUGUGAGUUCGUAUUCAAUGCCCCAUCUGCUAGCCACGCAGGAGGUGUGUGGGAACGACAGAUUCGAACCAUCCGCAAUGUUCUCAAUGCCACCAUUGCUCAAUGCCAAGGCAGGCUGGAUGACAGCUCUCUAAGAACUCUAUUCUAUGAGGCGAUGUUUAUCGUUAAUGGCCGACCACUGAGCGUCGAUGGAAUCAAUGAUCCUAAAUCUCCUGAACCUCUAACUCCAAAUCACCUCAUAUUGAUGAAAUCAAAGGUUGCACUGCCUCCACCAGGAAAGUUCGUGAAAGAGGACUUGUAUGCAAGGAAGCGGUGGCGCAGAGUACAGUAUCUCACUGAGCAGUUUUGGAGUAGAUGGAAAAGAGAGUACCUUCUGAACAUAUCUACGAGACAGAAAUGGCACGUACCACGUCGAAAUCUUAAAGUUAAUGACAUAGUCAUUAUCAAAGAAGACAUGCUUCCCAGAAAUCAGUGGCAACUGGCUCGAGUGGUUGAAGCACCAGAAGAAGAUGACGGUUUGGUCCGCAGAGUCAAGCUUCAAGUUGGCGAUCGAGGCUUAAUAAAGAAGCAGGGAACAGCACACAAACCUCACAUAGUUGAGCGACCUGUUCAAAAGCUUGUAGUUCUAUUAGAAAAUAACUAAUUGAUGUUUCAAUCAAUACUGUCACAUCAGACGUAUUUUUGCGAAGGUUUAUUGAUGAUGUACUUGAAAUUGUGUUUGUUCUUGUAGUAAUGUCCAUAUGUUAAGUCUGGAAAUAAUGUAUAGAAUGUUGUUUGCUAUACAUGAUUUGGUGGGAGUGUAAAGGUCCAGUUUUGUUAAGCGAUCUAAGCCUGAACAGCUACGCGUUGUGUCCAGUAGAGGGCUCUGUUGCUUAGUUAGCGGCAAGCUGCACUUCCAGCUCAGACCGGAUUUCGUGGCGCACAUGUCCCAGUAAGCAGCUCUCAAUGAAGCAUGAAGCAGCGUGAUACCGGACUCUAGCAAAAUACAAUUUGCAGCCCUUGGAAUGCGGAGCGAGUUUUCACGGUGCAUUGGCGCACCUCAGUACUGUUAGAUUCUGAACGAAUCUCCAAGUAAAAAUUACUGCACCCGUCGAGGCUCUCUCUAUUUCUUCCUUGGUCCGGG